rnacentral:rRNA from 1 species
AACGCUAGCGACAGGCCUAACACAUGCAAGUCGAGGGGGCAGCACAAGGAGCAAUCUGAGGUGGCGACCGGCGCACGGGUGAGUAACACGUAUGCAACCUGCCUGUAAGCGGGGAAUAACCCGUUGAAAGACGGACUAAUACCGCAUAAUACUAAAUUACUGCAUGGUAAUUUAUUUAAACAUUUAUGGCUUACAGAUGGGCAUGCGCAUGAUUAGCUAGUUGGAGAGGUAACGGCUCCCCAAGGCAACGAUCAUUAGGGGUUCUGAGAGGAAGGUCCCCCACACUGGUACUGAGACACGGACCAGACUCCUACGGGAGGCAGCAGUGAGGAAUAUUGGUCAAUGGACGAGAGUCUGAACCAGCCAAGUCGCGUGCAGGAAGAAUGUUCCCUAUGGAUUGUAAACUGCUUUUGCAGGGGAAUAAAGUGCAUCACGUGUGAUGUUUUGUAUGUACUCUGCGAAUAAGGAUCGGCUAACUCCGUGCCAGCAGCCGC